UUUCCAGAUUUUCAACACAUGAUGGCUGGUGGUACGAGGGAUGCCCACAAUGCUACAAACAAUUGACGGUGAAGAAAAAUAGUGACCUGCAAGUCUGUCUAGACCACAGCGUGCAAAUACCUCUUCCAUGUUAUAGAGUCCAUGCCACCAUUGAAGAUCCAAACAGUGAAGCCACAAUCAAGCUUAGAGGAAAACCAGCUGAACAAUUGUUUGGAAUAACUUGCAGAGACCUCAUAGACAGGUACCCUUAUGCUCCACAGGAAACAUUACCCCAGGAAAUAUUGCAAACAAAAGGGCAAAUUCACAUUUUCCAAAUCCAAAUCAAUGAGGCAAAUGGCUUCAUAGUGAAAGGUAUCUUUCCAAGCACAAAGAAUCAACCAAGUGCCAGCACACCAGCUCAUCCAAUGUAUGACAAAAAAAGAUCUGUCGAUAAAGGAAGAAGACAACUAUUUGCUACCACUCCAGACA
rnacentral:lncRNA from 1 species